rnacentral:rRNA from 1 species
GAUGAACGCUGGCGGCGUGCCUAACACAUGCAAGUCGAACGGAGUUAUUUUGGAAAGUCCUUCGGGACUGGAAUCUAUAACUUAGUGGCGGACGGGUGAGUAACGCGUGAGCAAUCUGCCUUUAGGAGGGGGAGUAACAGUCGGAAACGGCUGCUAAUACCGCAUAAUGUAUGUCCUUCGUCAUGUUGGUACGAUACCAAACGGAAGCAAUACCGCCCUUUACGUAUGAGCUCGCGUCUGAUUAGCUAGUUGGCGGGGUAACGGGCCCACCAAGGCGACGAUCAGUAGCCGGACUGAGAGGUUGAACGGCCACAUUGGGACUGAGACACGGCCCAG